UUUGUUACUAUGACAGUCAGUGCCUUCAUACAAUUAGUUCAUCAAAUUAUUGAUAGGAAUAUUUUUUCUUGAAAUUUUUUUAAAAAUAGUUAUAAUUAGCACCUUCUCUAUUUGUUUGCUUCUUUCUUGCCAUAUCGGCUCUCGGCUAGACAAACGUCAUGUCUGUGCCCAACUUUUUAUGAUGGAUUUGCUAAAUGGACAUAUACUCAAAAUUUCGCACAAGAUCUAAUAUUUAAAUGAAGAAAAUAUUUGCUUUAUGGCUGGCACAUGAAAAGGCGUCAAUCAAUUUAUUUUGAAUGGCAAGUUUUGUUGAUACAAACAGUUGAGGACAGUGGCAUGAAAAUAUUUCAUAAGCUUAUAAUUAAAAAAAAAAAAUGAACCAUUUUGCACACAUCAUGAAAAUCAAUUAACAAAUGAGGGAAUCUAAUGUGCUAAUUUGAUUAAAUUAUUAGUUUGAGUAAAACAAUUCAUUAGACGCUUUUAGAAAACUUAAAUGGAUGUCCACCGUGUGGUAUGAGUAAUUAAAAUAAAUCAUACAACCCCAUGAACCGGGGAAUAAAAAUAA